AUGGACUUAGAAAAGAUUAUUUCCAAAAAGUUAAUACUAUUUAUACUAGUAUUUAUUUAUUUAUUUAUGUUAUUUCAUUCUUCUUCAUGUAAACAAAAUUUGGACAAACAUGGUACUUGGAAGUUGGAACAUAUACAUAAAAAUUAGUAGUUUAAGGUUUAAAGCAUGCACUAGUCACAAUCUCAUUUCAUACAAAUCACAGCAUGAGUGGAUUACUGCGUUUGUAACAAGGAACAUAUGCAUCUAUCAAAUCAUGAUAUAUAACACAAAGUUUGAUCUUGUUUUUGUUAGUACUGUUGACAUCAGAAGCACUAGAAGUAUCAAUCAUAUCACAACCAGGUACUAAUCUUAUUCACAUAAAUAUUACAAAGUUACGCAAUGAAUAUGAGUACAUUACUUGCAGGGAAGAGUGGAGAUGAAUCUGUCCUAUCAUGAGAUAAUGUAAUCAUUGCAGAAUCCAGCCAAUUUCUGACUAAAGCUGCUUCCCCUUCCUUGUUAUCACACAUUGUAAAAUGGGAGCAAACCAAGGUGCACUGGUUUAAUGGCAAUGGCCAAAAGCAAGGGUGGAGACACCAAGGAAAGAAUAGGAGAGAAAAAAGUUAAGUGGUUUCUCAGCUUUUGAGAUUUCAGGUUAACCAAAGGUGACAACUGCACACAUCCUAUCAGAUGUCUCAUUUGUUGUUCCCAGAUUUAUGAAUGAUGAUGUCAAAUAAACCUAUGGCAGUGUGAUGCACAACCUCUGUUACAUUGGUUCCUGCACUUGCCCUUCAAUUGAAGCUUUGCUUGAAAGUUAAAAGAAAUUGUUUAUAUUAUCUAAUCAUAUAUAUAUAGUUCUUUAAAAACUUUGGUAUUUGUUAGCGUUUUUGUUUUGUUUUUUUUUC